rnacentral:rRNA from 1 species
GGAAGUAAAAGUCGUAACAAGGUCUCCGUUGGUGAACCAGCGGAGGGAUCAUUACCGAGUUUACAACUCCCAAACCCAAUGUGAACGUUACCAAACUGUUGCCUCGGCGGGAUCUCUGCCCCGGGUGCGUCGCAGCCCCGGACCAAGGCGCCCGCCGGAGGACCAACCAAAACUCUUUAUGUAUACCCCCUCGCGGGUUUUUUUACUAUCUGAGCCAUCUCGGCGCCCCUCGUGGGCGUUUCGAAAAUGAAUCAAAACUUUCAACAACGGAUCUCUUGGUUCUGGCAUCGAUGAAGAACGCAGCGAAAUGCGAUAAGUAAUGUGAAUUGCAGAAUUCAGUGAAUCAUCGAAUCUUUGAACGCACAUUGCGCCCGCCAGUAUUCUGGCGGGCAUGCCUGUCCGAGCGUCAUUUCAACCCUCGAACCCCUCCGGGGGGUCGGCGUUGGGGAUCGGCCCUUUACGGGGCCGGCCCCGAAAUACAGUGGCGGUCUCGCCGCAGCCUCUCCUGCGCAGUAGUUUGCACACUCGCAUCGGGAGCGCGGCGCGUCCAUUGCCGUAAAACACCCAACUUUCUGAAAUGUUGACCUCGGAUCAGGUAGGAAUACCCGCUGAACUUAAGCAUAUCAAUAAGCGGAGGA